AAAUUUUAAUGCCCGCUUUUUAAACAAACCAGUAGAACGUAUUGCAGCAAAAUUAAACAUUAAAAGUUGCAAAAUCAGAUGACAUUUUCUCCCAGCACCGGUGCAUUAGUUUGCUCUCAGGAAACUGUUCAAAAUAGAAUGGCUGACCGUAACUGUGCAUUUAUUGUUGUGGCGUACAUUAAUAGCAUCCAUUUGUCUGUUAUUCAGAGUCUCAGCACCUCUGUCGAUGCGGAGGUCACGGCCGCCACCGCCGACCCCGGCGAGGGCACCAGCGCGAGCGGGCCGCCGGCAAUGGACAUUGAGGAGAGCUGGCUCGUUAUCGACGAUGCAGUCGACCACCUGCUGCACCGCGCUGGCGAGCACGGAGCUGUGUUUCAGCUAUCCCCAGUACCCAUGGCCGCAAGUUCGAGCUGGCAUGCUCUACGUGGAGAAUGAGACGGUUGUCGAGUUCAAAGAGCUAUAACCUCGGCGGUCGACUUAAGUGACCAGCUGCCGGGACAGAGACUGACCGGCAGAGUUCUGUUGGUGCCUCAUGCUUUUCUCUGUUUGUUUCUGUUUUCUGUUCCGCAAGUUUUUGUCAUUAUAACUAGUUGCAGUUGAAUUAGCUUGUUGCAGUUCGUUUAUGUUUUGCUGCAGGGUGUCCCUUAACCGUAAAGAGACGUGAAACGUUGGAUGCUAAUGAAUGAGAUACAAGGCACUUUGAUGUUAAGCACAGGCAGAGCUUUGGAGUCGUAAAUGUAUCAGUUAACCAAACCAUUGAAAACUGUGUUUGCGUAUGACUAUUCGGAAACUGCGUCUUUCACAUGCCAUGGUUGCACGACCUUGCUAUAGAAUACGAAAUAACAUAAUCGCACAUAAGACUGUGAAAUAGAAAGCUGCUUGGUAUAAUAGUCUGCUCCUUAUGAUGGGUUCCUAUAGCUGGUGUCUUGCAACCAGCUAUGAUCAUUGAGCGUUACCGUCCAUAAUAGGUUGUCCAGCUUGCUUGUUCGUAUGUGCAUGAAAUACAGAUUUAACUUUGC